UACGUAGGGUGCGAGCGUUAAUCGGAAUUACUGGGCGUAAAGUGUGCGCAGGCGGCAGAGCAAGUCGAGUGUGAAAGCCCCGGGCUUAACUUGGGAAUUGCGCUCGAAACUACUUUGCUGGAGUGUGGCAGAGGAAGGUGGAAUUCCACGUGUAGCGGUGAAAUGCGUAGAGAUGUGGAGGAACACCAAUGGCGAAGGCAGCCUUCUGGGCCAACACUGACGCUCAUGCACGAAACCGUGGGGAGCAAACAGG
rnacentral:rRNA from 1 species